rnacentral:tRNA from 1 species
GGAUUGUGGCUCAGCGGUAGAGCGCUAGCCUAGCAUGUGCAGGGCCCUGAAUUCGAUCCUCAGCACCA